AGUCGAGCGGGGAAGGUAGCUAGCUACCUGACCUAGCGGCGGACGGGUGAGUAAUGCUUAGGAAUCUGCCUAUUAGUGGGGGACAACAUUCCGAAAGGAAUGCUAAUACCGCAUACGCCCUACGGGGGAAAGCAGGGGAUCUUCGGACCUUGCGCUAAUAGAUGAGCCUAAGUCAGAUUAGCUAGUUGGUGGGGUAAAGGCCUACCAAGGCGACGAUCUGUAGCGGGUCUGAGAGGAUGAUCCGCCACACUGGGACUGAGACACGGCCCAGACUCCUACGGGAGGCAGCAGUGGAGAAUAUUGGACAAUGGGCGAAAGCCUGAUCCAGCCAUGCCGCGUGUGUGAAGAAGGCCUUUUGGUUGUAAAGCACUUUAAGCGAGGAGGAGGCUACUUAGAUUAAUACUCUAGGAUAGUGGACGUUACUCGCAGAAUAAGCACCGGCUAACUCUGUGCCAGCAGCCGCGGUAAUACAGAGGGUGCGAGCGUUAAUCGGAUUUACUGGGCGUAAAGCGUGCGUAGGCGGCUUUUUAAGUCGGAUGUGAAAUCCCUGAGCUUAACUUAGGAAUUGCAUUCGAUACUGGGAAGCUAGAGUAUGGGAGAGGAUGGUAGAAUUCCAGGUGUAGCGGUGAAAUGCGUAGAGAUCUGGAGGAAUACCGAUGGCGAACGCAGCCAUCUGGCCUAAUACUGACGCUGAGGUACGAAAGCAUGGGGAGCAAACAGGAUUAGAUACCCUGGUAGUCCAUGCCGUAAACGAUGUCUACUAGCCGUUGGGGCCUUUGAGCUUUAGUGGCGCAGCUAACGCGAUAAGUAGACGCCUGGGGGAGUACGGUCGCAGACUAAAACUCAAAUGAUUGACGGGGGCCCGCACAGCGGUGGAGCAUG
rnacentral:rRNA from 1 species